rnacentral:guide_RNA from 1 species
GUAAUCCGAAGAGGGUGUGUGCCCUCGAAGCUCGU